AAAGUCGUAACAAGGUAACCGUAGGUGAACCUGCGGUUGGAUCAUUACAAAAUGAUAUAUUUUUAGGUUUGUAGUCUAUCAUAAUCAUGAUGUGAUUCGCCUAAAAAUAUCAACUACCCAAUGUGCACUGUUUCAUGUUUUUCGGGAAAUUUUGAGGAAUAUGUAUUAAUUCUUUAUUGAAUUUUUAUAGUUUUGAUGAAUUUCCCGGCAGUUUUAUAAACCCAAUUUUUUAUUAUUAGUCUGAUUAUUUCUAUAAAAUGAAAUUAUAAACAACUUUUGACAACGGAUCUCUUGGCUCUC
rnacentral:misc_RNA from 1 species